rnacentral:misc_RNA from 1 species
AACGCACAUUGCGCCCUUUGGUAUUCCAAAGGGCAUGCCUGUUCGAGCGUCAUUUGUACCUUCAAGCUUUGCUUGGUGUUGGGCGUUUUUUGUCUCCCUCUUGCUGGGAGACUCGCCUUAAAACGAUUGGCAGCCGGCCUACUGGUUUCGGAGCGCAGCACAUAUUUUGCACUCUGUGUCAGGAGAAAAGGACGGUAGUCCAUCAAGACUCUACAAAUUUUAACUUUUGACCUCGGAUCAGGUAGGGAUACCCGCUGAACUUAA